GCUUGUCUCAAAGAUUAAGCCAUGCACGUCUAAGUAUAAGCAUUAUACAGCGAAACAGCGAAUGGCUCAUUACAUUAGUUUUAACAUACACGAUGAUCGAUUCUACUUGGAUAACCGUAGUAAUUCUAGAGCUAAUACAUGCAAAAAAACCCAGACUUACGAAUGGGUGCACUUAUUAGAUAAAGCCAACGCUGGGUAAAACCAGUUUCCCUUGGUGAUUCAUAAUAAUUAAGCGGAUCGCAUGGCCUUGUGCUAGCGACAGUCCACUCGAUUUUCUGCCCUAUCAUGGUUGAGAUUGUAAGAUAGAGGCUUACAAUGCCUACAACGGGUAACGGGGAAUUAGGGUUCGAUUCCGGAGAGGGAGCCUGAGAAACGGCUACCACAUCCAAGGAAGGCAGCAGG
rnacentral:rRNA from 1 species